rnacentral:rRNA from 1 species
UGUCGAUGAGGAGCGCAGCCACUGUGUGAAUUAAUGCAAACUGCAUACUGCUUUGAACAUCGACAUCUUGAACGCAUAUUGCGGCCAUGGGUUAGCCUGUGGCCACGCCUGUCCGAGGGUCGGCUU